UACGUAGGGGGCAAGCGUUGUCCGGAUUCAUUGGGCGUAAAGCGCGUGUAGGCGGCCAGGUAGGUCUGGUGUGAAAACUCGAGGCUCAACCUCGAGAGGUCAUCGGAAACCAUCUGGCUAGAGUCCGGAAGAGGAGAGUGGAAGUUCCCGGUGUAGCGGUGAAAUGCGCAGAUAUCGGGAAGAACACCUAUGGCGAAGGCAGCUCUCUGGGACGGUACUGACGCUGAGGCACG
rnacentral:rRNA from 1 species